GUGAUGUUGUUUGCAUUAUUUCCUGGUACAAAUAAAGUUUUUUUUUUAAUUGCCUUUUUAUUGGCUCCUGCUGUGCUAUACAAAACAGACACCAGGCAAAGACACCCCCCAGUGGCCAUGGGCGGCAUUGUGUCUGACAUCGGAGCAACCAAAUUGGAUGUUUGUGAGAUUAAAUAGUACCUGAAAGUCGGAGAAGUGUGGCCACGGGUGUGUUGACGCCAGAGUCUCUGAGGGAAGUCACGCAGCUGAAGGAGGACGCUGGCUCCGCUGAUGUCUCCGUACCUUGGAGACAUCCUGCUUCGUCGGUGUGUUCUCGGAGGGUGUAACAACACGAACAGAGACGGAUUCAAGUUGCAACGGUGGUCAAAAGAUGCGAAAGUCCCUCGUUUGUUCUGCACACUGUACCGACGACAGCUAUGCUACGACAGAGAUGGCAAGGAUGUGUGGGUAUCCUGCGACACUCGAAGCAGAUGCAUUUGGGACGGCGUGGCGCAGUGGGGAGAGUGGCCGUGCACAACCCGAGCGUCCCUGGUUCAAUUCCCACCUAGUACCAACCUCGUCACGUCCGUUGUGUCCUGAGCAAGACACUUCACCCUUGCUCCUGAUGGGUGCUGGUUGGCGCCUUGCAUGGCAGCUCCCUCCAUCAGUGUGUGAAUGUGUGUGUGAAUGGGUAAAUGUGGAAGUAGUGUCAAAGAGCUUUGAGUACCUUGAAGGUAGAAACGCGCUAUACAAGUACAACCCAUUUAUACAAGUACAACCCAUUUAUU